UGAUUUUAUUAUUACCUUAAAAAAUACUAAAUUUCCGACAUUUCUAUGAUUAAAUUCGUUUACAGCAAUUCAACAACAUAAAGAGAACAUGCCCUGACUGCAAAGCUUACCUUUGGGAUGCUGAGAAAACUACCCUCUGCUGUGGUAAAGGAAAAAUUAGUGCCCAGAAUUAAUAGCUAAGUACUAUGAUGUUAAUCUAUGCGGUCAAAGGUUUCUGAUCAAAAUUAGUGACUAAAAUAAUUUACUGGCUAUGGUUUCACUGGAACUGGAUAAUCCACUAGUUGGACCACAGGGCGAUAGCACUUUUAUGCUUACUUUCAAGAUUCAAAGAAAGUUGUACUACUGCAUAGGAAGUCUCCUACCAGCAGUAAAUAGGAAGCCAUUCUACACACAGCUACAAUUCGUUGACACUGAAAAUGAGAUGAGAAACAGGUUGUCAUUCAGAGGAGCUGACAAUGACCUUAAUGAGAACAUCCUGCUAGACUUACAGAGAGCACUGCAUUUACACAAUCCAUAUGUCAAAAUUUUAAACAGGCUAUUGAUAUAAUUAAGGAAUACCCUGCACCAGGAAAAUGUUCUACCGGUGAUUUAUAAGUCAUGACAAACGGCUUAUUCCUGCUGGGUUACAUUAGAGAACCUAUAAUCCACCGACUGCAUCACAAGUUGCUGUGAUCAUGGUGGGAGAUGAUACCAACAAUCCAAACAUUAAGACUGUGGCUUUGGACUCAGGGUAUAAGGAUAUGAAAGGAAUCUACACUGACAACGUCGUCUAUAUGGAAAUUCUUUAAGAAAAUUAUAGCCCAAGACCUGAAAUUUUGUGGGGAAGGAGGUAGUUAAUAUCAUCAACCCUAGUACUCAACUGAUAUUUAUUUUAUCGAUUUCAAAGGAUGGAAGACCAAGUCAACCUCACCAGAAUUUGAACUCAGGAUGUAAAGCCAGAAGAAAUGUUGCACUGCCACAAGAAAGAUAACCAAGUACUUGCAAGACAAGACCUUUCAACUGAAUGGAGUACAGUACUGAAAGUAUACCAGAGAGACAGAAACAGAGAUCUUAUUGAAGAGGUGAAUACAUGGUUUCCCAGUUAUGGAGGAGGGGGAGAUACAUGGUGAGGUUAUAAACUUUAAGGUACAAGGUGAAUGUGAUAGAGAGAAUGAGUGAGUGGGGUAGAUAAGUGUGUUACAGGGUGAAAAGAAUGUGACAGAUGACUAGAUACAGGAACAAAAGCAGACACAGUAAAUAUCAGUUAGAGGAGGGGAAUAUAUUGUCUGUAAAUAAGAUGCAAUUAUCAGUUCACCUGGCAGGAGGUUAUCAACAACAUUACACUGCUAACAUACUCAUUACAUAACCAGCCUUUUGGCAAGAGAAACUUUUUAAUGACAACAUGUUUAGAACUUCUUGUUUAAAAUAACAAAGUAGCAAAAUUUAUCUAUUAACAUUAAUAAACUAUUCAAAUUAAGUUUUUUAGGACAUAUGAAACAUUUAACCCUUUAGCAUUCAAAUUAUUCUAUCAAACGUAACACUUAUUUAUUCACAUUGUUUUGAACUUAUCCUGCAUUAUCUUGUAGCCUUGAGAUUUCAAUUAUGUGAAUGUAUACUUUUUAGACUAACAUUGUAGAGUAGGUGUGAGGCUGAUCUGGCCAGUUUGAACAUAAAGCAGGAAGAAUAUUUUUGCUGGAUAUGGCCAGUUUAAAUGCUAAAGGGUUAAAAAGCAUGCCCAAAAUAUUUUGAUGAAUAUUUGAUUUUAGAAUUGUUGCCCUUUAUAGGGGCCAUUUCAGGAAAUUGAAGUAAACUUGAAGAAGAAUUGUUUACUGAACCAUGAGGGCUCUUACUUUCCAUAAAAAGAGGAGACUAUAAGGGAUCAAAGUCUAUAUUACAACAGAAUAAUAUAUAUCAAUAAUCCCUCCCUUCCCUUCUCCUGUUCCAUGCUAUGCCAACUCCCCCAGUUAGUACCUGUUCUACUACUGUUACACUCCGCUACCACCCUGUCUCAGCUAUUAAUCUGUUCCUCUCAACUUCCUUACACUCCCUCAUCACAUUACCUAAAAUCAUCUCUCUCUCUCUUUCUUCCCUUCUGUUCACCUCCACUCAUGAACCCUUAAUCUUACAGCACACAAGGCAAUCUUAAAUAGUUCUAGAGUUACAAAAGAAAAUGCACCUAGUACUUUUUGUAAAGUGGUUGACAUUAAGGACAUCCAACCAUAGAAACCAUGCUAAAGCAGACACUGACACAUGACUCAGUGCUCCAACUUGACAGAUUCUGCUGAACAUGCAACCCACACCAACAUGGAGGCUGGAUCUUACAUAUUGGUGGUGGUGGUGGUGGUGAUGAUGCUAGGCAAAUGAUUUACUUUGAAACAAAGAUUAGAACACAUGUAGUGAGAAGAACAUUUGCACUGUGAUAGAAUCAUUGUAGCCUUUAAAAACGCACAACUUGUUUUGUUAAAUUUCAUUUUCAUGUAAAAAUUUGUAAUUACAGUAAUCCCUCGACUAUCAUGGGUCUUACAUUCCAAAACCUCUCGCAAUAAGUGAAAAUCUGUGAAGUAAAAACAGUAUUGUACUGUAUAUUUUUUAAUUAUUUUUAUAAUUUCUAUAUAUUUAUUUUAUUAUAAAUGCAAAACAACAUCACGGAGGAAUCAAUGUAAGCUUAAAUAAUAAACCUCGAUAGGUGAACCACAAUAUGGCAAGAGAUUACUGUAUAUUAUAUAUUAUCAGAUGUUGAAGUGUUUAAUUUGCAUAUUUACAACCUGGCUCUACUUCAAUAUGUCUCUAUAGAAUGAUGAGAGGAAAGUACCCCACUGUAAGAAAAACAAUGAAGCGUGUAAUAAGACUAAAAUAUGUCUUGUACUAUCAAAAAUUAAUCAAUACUCAUUGUAUUAAGUUAGUUUAGAUGACAGGGUUAUCUCCCCUACCUUUUUAAGAGAAUUGAUCAUUAUUAUACUUCUUUCUUCACUACAUGCAUAACUUUAAUUCUAAAUUUUGGGCUCACUAUAUUUUACUAUUCUAAACAAAACUAGUUACACUUCAUUUAGUAUACUAUGAAGACAGAACACUGACUAAAUACAUGUGAACAUGUCAAGAUAAUGCUCAAUUAUAUCUGAUAUGUAACCAUAAUGCCUUAAUAUGGUGUUGAGCACAGUUCACCAAACUGAAAACAAAAUACCAGUUGAAGACAGCAUUUCUGCAGAGGUCUUCAAAGCUGGCUCUGGACUUUUUGUGACUUAGCUACUAUUGUGUAAUUUCAAUAAUUUGAGAUGCUAAAUAUUUUCCACAAGACUGAACUUGCAUGAUAGAACUGUGUGGCAAAUUUGUCACUUAUUCUUCCAAAGUACUUCCACUGUGCUUACAGAUGUCUGUACUGUAAGGUUGUUUCCAUUCUGGUCUAGUUACAAUGAUCGAAUUAUUAUACACUGACAGGACCUAAGAUACAAGUGGUAUUUCCAGUAGUACACAGUUAAUCAUCAUUGUCAUCAUUUAACGUCCAUCUUCCAUACAUGCAUUUAAUGCAUUUGUAAACUUUGCAACCACUUCCGGCAUCUUUCUAUUCCUAUGCAUCAACAGCCACUGUAAAGUAUCAGAGAGGCAAAUUAAUAUAUCAUGGAAAUUGCUCUUCCUCAUAAAGGCAUACUAUUCCAGUAUAUUGAUCAAUCUCAAAGCAAAUAGAGAGAACUAGGUCUGUAGUAAAAAGUAGUUUCAUAAGUUUAUUUGUCCCUGUGACUGAUUUGUGGUAACCAUUGGUGAUUUAGUCCUUUCCAUCAGAAGAAAGAAUGCAAAUUAUGACAUCUAUACUUUAUCCAAGGAAAUAAAAGAUGUAAAUCAAAUGACAUUAUUUUCAAUGAGAACUGAAACUAAAUCAAUUAUUUUAUCAAAAACUUACAACCAGAUUUACAGUUCUUCUCCCCCAAAAAAGAAACACAAACACAAAAUUUCAAUAACAAAGAUGAAUAAAUUAAGCUAAACAAUCAUCUAUAAACUGAUAAUAAAACUCUAUCUUAUUAGUCAUCAUCAUCAUCAUUUAGCAUCCAUUUUUCUUGCUGCUAUGGGUUGGAUGGUUUCACUGAAAACUAGUAAGCUGGGGAGCUGCACCAGGUUCCAAUCAGAUUUGGCACAGUUUCUACAGUUGAAUGCCCCUCCCAAUGCCAACCACUCCAAGAAUGUAGUGGGUACUUUUUACAUGACACCAGCAUGGGUGCCAGUUACAAAACACUGGCAUCAGCUUGACAAGUUUAUAAUUUUUUGUUCAACUAUGGUAGCAUGUUGCCUGAAAAUUUGAAUAUUCAUAAAUACAAAUAAAAUUUUUUUUAUAACAGCCUUCUUUCAAGUAGCAUAUAGAAUCUGUGGUCAGUACUCUAAAUUCACAAUCUAUAGCCAUUUUAACUUAUUAAUAAUUCAACAUAACUAUUUGCUAUCUGUUUCAAGCUGCCAUUAACAUUUCUAAUAUUACUUGAUACUAGUUUUGGCUGUAUAUUCUAACAAAUAUUCCUAAUGUUUUAGAAAUAAAAACCAGUGUAAUUGCCAAAAUCUCUAAAAUUAUGCACAGGCCUUACCUUAAUGUAAAAUUUAAUUGAUUCUGCUUGUAAGUUGUAAGCUUUCAAUAGAAAUAGGUACGUGAAUGGAAUUUUAUGGACAUCAACUGAAAAUAUUGUGAAAAGGGUUACAAUACUGUUUUAGUAAAAAGGACCAUUAAUAAUUCAAGACAUAAAAUUUACAAAGCAUUAAAGGAAUUUUCAAUCAGUAAAUAUUUCUAUAUCACCAACAUUUCUCUUAUGUUCAAACACUAGUUACAAAAGUCCUAUGGACAUCAACUGGUGAAAUAAAUAUAUUCAGCUCAUGCCUCCUGACUUCCUUUAUAUUUUAUAUACUCCUCACAAAAUAAUUUUCACAGAUUGGAUUUACUGGACUUCAACUGCAGAGGACUGUAAAGUACAUUCCUAUGUAGUGUUUAAUAUGUGGUAUGUAGCUGGAUCCACUAAAAGAGCCUUUUUGUGAUUACCACUGGAUUAUAUAAGUCCAUAUAUUGUACAUUAAAUUUAUAAUGUUAUAUGCGUAUUUUAAAUCAAUAGCAGGUAUACUGUUUUAUUGCUCAAUAAUCUAUAAAUUUUGUAAAUAUGACUUUAAUCUAUUUCACUUCUUGUUUCGCUUUAAUUUUAGCUAUUACAGUUAAGGUCAUGGAGCACUACCUUUUAUAACUCAUUUUCAAUUUUGUACUCAGGCAACUCAAAUCUCAUUUUCCAUAGAUUGAUUUUGGUGCACCACUAAAUUCAUAUCUCACAACUACUAUCAUGCUUUUCUUUCUAAUGUCACUACUAAACAAAUUACAUGAGCUUCCUCAACAUUCAGUAAAUAUUUUGGGGAGUAUUAGAUGUUCUGGCACAGCCAUUUUGGCAUGAUUCAUUUGCUGAUUCAAUGCUAACUUAUUUUACAUCAGACAUUUUAAUGUGUGUGUCUCUCUCUCUAACCGUUUUUGUUUGCAUGUGUAUAUUUCUGCAUUAACAAACGUGUGUGUGUGUGUGUGUGUGUGUAUGUGUAUCUGUGUGUGUGUGUAUGAGUAUCUGUGUAUGUGUGUGUGUAUGUGUAUCUGUGUGUGUGUGUGCGUGCGUGCACGUACGUGUUUGCCACCAGCACCAAAACAGGUGGUAUGUCCAAUCAUCCAUGCCAAACCAACAUCCAAAUACCUGCAUCAAAUCAUUUCACUCUGUGUUUCCAUUUUACAAGAUCCCUACAUGUAUUAAAUAAAUAUAUUACAAUUACAAAACUUAUCUAAAUUAGAAUGAUCAUCAAAAUUUUUUCUAAUGUGAUUAUUACAUGAAAAAAUACCUUAUGAAAUAAUUCAAAUAAUUAUUAAACACCUACCUUUUGA